CGCAGCCGCGGUAAUUCCAGCUCCAAUAGCGUAUAUUAAAGUUGUUGCAGUUAAAAAGCUCGUAGUUGAAUUUCGGGAUCAACAUGUCGGUCGUGCCUCUGGUAUGUACUGGUAUCGUUGAUUUCUACCUUCUGACGAACCAUGAUGUCAUUAAUUUGGUGUCAUGGGGAAUCAGGACUGUUACUUUGAAAAAAUUAGAGUGUUUAAAGCAGGCAUACGCUUGAAUACAUUAGCAUGGAAUAAUGAAAUAGGACGUUUGACCCUAUUUUGUUGGUUUCUAGGAUCGACGUAAUGAUUAAUAGGGAUAGUUGGGGGCAUUAGUAUUCAAUUGUCAGAGGUGAAAUUCUUGGAUUUAUUGAAGACUAACUACUGCGAAAGCAUUUGCCAAGGAUGUUCUCACUAAUCAAGAACGAAAGUUAGGGGAUCGAAGACGAUCAGAUACCGUCGUAGUCUUAACCAUAAACUAUGCCGACUAGGGAUCGGAUGAUGUUAAUUUUUUAAUGACUCAUUC
rnacentral:rRNA from 1 species